rnacentral:miRNA from 1 species
UGUGUGUGUGUGUGUGUGUGUUUUCCUUAUUUGUUUCUGCCUACACACACACACACACACACACACACACACAGACAUAUACACACAUA